GACGAACGCUGGCGGCGUGCUUAACACAUGCAAGUCGAACGGAAAGGCCCUGCUGUUGUGGCUUGCUCGAGUGGCGAGCGGGUGACUAACACGUGAUUAACCUGCCCCUGUCUGUGGGAUAACGUCAGGAAACUGUGGUACCUACCGGAUAGGAGUUUCUCCUGCCUGGUGGUGGUUGGAAAGUUUCGGCGGUUGGGGAUGGACUCGCGGCUUAUCGGCUUGUUGGUGGGGUAGUGGCUUACCAUGGCUUCGACGGGUAGCCGGCCUGAGAGGGUGACCGGCCACACUGGGACUGAGAUACGGCCCAGACUCCUACGGGAGGCAGCAGUGGGGAAUAUUGCACAAUGGGCGGAAGCCUGAUGCAGCAACGCCGCGUGCGGGAUGACGGCCUUCGGGUUGUAAACCUCUUUCGCCUGUGACGAAGCGUAAGUGACGGUAGUGAGUAAAGAAGCACCGGCUAACUACGUG
rnacentral:rRNA from 1 species